CUCACUCCUCAGGCAAUUGUGCGCUGGAUGUUGCAAACAGAUCCCGGGGUCGCGCAGCGAAUAAUCCAGACUCCUCGCACUCUGACAAGUCUGGAAGAUUAGCUGUGCUUCCCCGUGUCUCUGUGCAACAAAGACGAGGCUGCGGAAGUUUCCUGACUAGUGAGUGACUUAAUAAUGGACAUCCGGAGCUACCUUGACAACUCUCGUGUACACCAUGUACGCCACAUCUCGGAUGUUUCUUUUAAAUGUAUGCUUUGUCAACUGUU